GCUUGCCUCUGACUUAUGAGUGCAGAGAUUAAAGGCCUGUGAGACAGUUCAGUGGAUAAAGGGAACUGUGGCCAAUAGACAACCUACAUUUGAGUCCCAAGAACCCAAAUGAUGGGAGGAGAAACCAACUUUACAAGCUGUUCCCUGAUCUCGCCAUGCAAGCUGUAUGCAUCCUCCCUGACAGGGAUCUAAGACCUUCCAUUGACUUCUAUGACACUUGCACACAUACAUGAAUACACAUACUCAAACAUACAUUAAUAAAAAUAAAACAAAUUCCUUU